GACAGAAGCUAGACGACGGAAAGAGGCAGAGUCUACUUCAGAGUGGCAAAGAAGCGCCUCGGAUUGCGCUUUGAGACUCUUGGGACAAUCUUCCCUUCCCAUAGGAUGCGAGCUCAUCAGGUCAUGGCUUUCAGCUUCCCCAGUGCCUGGAGUAGAAGAGGUACCUAGGGGUGGCCAUCUCACCGGGAGAAAACAUAUUCUCGUGAGUGUCCUAUAUGGUCCUUCCUCAAAGUGAUGUUAGCACACUGUGCCAUUUCAAGAAACUAAGUGAACAUGGAUUUUAAAAAAAAAAAGCGGGGUUGGGGAUUUAGCUCAGUGGUAGAGCGCUUGCCUAGCGAGCGCAAGGCCCUGGGUUCGGUCCCCAGCUCCGGGGGUGGGGGGAGCCAUCAAUGACAACCAUUCAACAAAGAAACUCCUGAAAGGGGGUUGGGGUGGGGUACCUACGCUCUGAAUGUUUGAAGCGCCCCCUUCUGGCCUCAUUGUGGACCCCAGGUGGAGAGGAAUGGAGUGGGUGCCCAGGACCGGGCCCUCUGGACAAGGAUUUUGUGCAAGGCUCCUCACUCCUAGUAGAUGCCAGUAGAUGUUUAGGAGCCAGAGAGUAGCGGCAAAGCCCAAGACACCAGAGUCACCCGUGAGUCACUCAGGACUCGCGCACCAGUGGCUUAGUGCAGCACCAGCACAGCCAAGGGCCAGGGUGCCUUGGGUUUGAAAGCGCCGCUGGGGAGUUUUCUCAGAGAUGCCACGUGAGCUUCAGAGAAUGGCUGUUUCAGUGGGAGCCACCUACUCAGAGAAUCUACACGACCUUGCGAUUUAUGAAUGUGUCCCCCAUAGUCAGCAAUACGGGCACACAGUGUGUGCUUGACAAACACUGCGGGAAAGGUGGUCGGAGCUAGGAGCAGCACUGGGUGUCGCGUGAGGUCCCCUGUUUGGCAUGCGUUGGAGGAGUCCUGUUCACUAGGUUAUCAUGCCUGCGACUUGAAAACGCUUCACAGUUGGAAGUUGGGAAAUGAGAGGAGCUGGGGUGCCAUCUGCUCUAGCUUGGGUAUUUAUAUUCCUCGCCAAAACUCACGCGGGGACUUAGUCUCCACGGUAGCAGCAUUGUGGGGUAGGGGCUAGAGGCAGUUUGGGUCACGUGGGCCAGGAGUGCCUGAGUUUCCGUGAGAGACACUUGUUACAGAUCAAGCCUAGCGGUCCCCACCCCCCCCCCCCCCCCCCCGUGAGUCAGAGCAGCAGGCGCCCUCUCGGAAGCAGAGUCGAAGCUGGUACCGCACUAUGAUGCUUUCUAGCUGCCGGAUCCUCAAGUAUAAAUAACCUCUUGUCUUCCUUCAUAAAUUACCCAUUCUCAGGCGUUCUAUUACCACAACAGGAAGCCGACCAAGACACCAUUCAAAAGCUCUCGGUAUGGCUGUGCAGGGAGUAAGUAGGUAGGGAAAGCCGGAUAUUAUGUUCAGGAUCGAGUUUCAAGUGAUCUGGCCACAUAUAAGGUAUCACUGAUAACUGCAGGACUCAGUUUUGGUUCUUUUAUUUGUUUGUUUGUUUUUUGAUUCAGUGUGUGUGUGUGUGUGUGUGUGUGUGUGUGUGUGUGUGUAGCCUCUGGUGUCCUGGAACUCGAUCUGUAGAACAGGCUGGCCUUGAACUCACAGAGAUCCACCUGCCUCUGCCUCAAGCAUGAUUCAAGGCCCAUGACCACCACUUUUGGCUCUUUGGUGGUCAUCUCUCUGCUGGUGAAGGACAGUCCCUCAGCUAAGCAUCACCGGGACGUGUGACAUGGUGGGAUCAUGCUAGGUGGAGCGUUAGCGAGUGCUGUCCAAGGAACAGUUCCUAGUGCCUGGGGGCGAGCCACCCACAGGCAGCCUCCCUAGAAUGGACUUUCUUACCAGUAGUCCAGUUUCAGGGGCACAGCUUCCAGGCCACGGAUCUGACAGUAAGGCUCCAAGUUCGAGAGCUCAUGCAGCUGCAACUCCCGGCUCCUGUCCAAGGCAAGCAUGGUUGAAGGCAACUGGAAGCCCCUCACCCCAUCCCUGUUUCAAAUGUGGAUCCCUGGACCCCAGUGAAGUGUGCCACUGGCCAGCUCGGAGUGUUUAAUAAGUGGCCAUGUCAGUCACUGAAUCGUGGUGAGAUCACACACAACAAGGCCAGUAAGCAUCUUUCUCAAAAAUCAGACUAGAGGAGGUCACCGUGUCAAGUGAAAUAAGCCACAGAAAGAAAAGGCGCACAGCGAGUUCUUGUUGGUGGAGCUGACGCACAGGGACCUCACAGGACCACUAGACACUGAGAAGGGCGGUGGAGAAGGUCAGAGUGGUGGGGGAAAGAAUUUAAAUUAGGAGCACCAAAUCAGAAAGAGGAGCAAUUCUUACUUUCUAUAGGCCAGCUGGGUAACUAUUGUUUAAAAUAAGCUGUAACAUAUUUCGUCUUCUCAAUAACACAUCAAAAUGAUUAGCAUUUGAUUGGUGAUCAAUCAAAGUAAAUAUCACCACAAUUUGAUCAUUACAGGGAGUAAUCGUAUAUUAGAUUAGCAUACUGUAUCCCAGUAUACAAGUGUUAUGAUUUUUUUUAAAAAAAGAACACAGCUAGAAAGAUGGCUGGGCUUGAUUCUCUUCCACAGGACCUGAGCUCUGUUCCCAACGCCCACCUCAGAUGGCUCAUAGCUGCCAAUAACUGAUGUCCUCUUCUGGGCUCCUUGGGUAUUGCACUCAUAUAUAUGUGUGCGUAAUACACACAUAAAUAAGCAGUAUAUCUUUUUUAAAAUGAUUAAAAAUAAAUGUAAUAAAAAAUUUUAAAAUCCAAAUUGAGCCAAAUUUAUAAACUUGCAUUUGUUGCUUACUACUUAUCAUCAUAUUAAAUUGAUUAUAUCAACUAUGUUGAUAUUUCAAUAAAUGUAUUUUUGAAGAUGAGUUAAUAUAAGGUAUUACACCACAUGAACAAUUAUAAUUUAAUAAAAUAACGGGGAUAGGUUGGGUUGGUCAUGGAAUUGGACAUUAAAGCCUAGAGCCUCAGGGACUUGUGGAAGAGAGUUGUGGAGAGGGCUUUUCGGCAGUGAGGGGCUUGUAUGGUAGGCGGAGUUGUGAGAACCCUUCCACCUGCUCCUUAACUGUAGCUACACCCUAAAGCCACCCCCCUCCAAAAUGGUCUUCAGCUUCUACCCUCCCUCUGCGAUCUGAGUUCACAUUCCUGUGAGCCGGAGCCCUGUGCGAGCCUGAGCCCUCUGGACCUCGCGCCGCCGCACAACCGCUGCGGCAGCGGCAACGGCAAUGAGUGGGCACCUCCAUGUUCGCGCUGUGUAUUUUACCCUGCGAAUUAGUCCAGUGCAGUCAAGACUCACUUUAGAUGGAUAAGAAAACAAAUAAACCAUUUAAUCCAAAUAAAGUGUGCUUGAAAAGUA